UACGUAGGUGGCAAGCGUUGUCCGGAUUUAUUGGGUUUAAAGGGUGUGUAGGCGGCCUUAUAAGUCAGUGCUGAAAUAUCCCGGCUUAACCGGGAGGGUGGCAUUGAUACUGUAGGGCUUGAGUAAAGUUGAGGUUGGCGGAAUUGACGGUGUAGCGGUGAAAUGCUUAGAUAUCGUCAAGAACACCGAUAGUGAAGACAGCUAACUAAGCUUUAACUGACGCUGAGGCACGAAAGUGUGGGGAUCAAACAGG
rnacentral:rRNA from 1 species